rnacentral:rRNA from 1 species
AACGAACGCUGGCGGCGCGUCUUAAGCAUGCAAGUCGAACGGUAAGGGAGAGCUUGCUCUCCCCUAGAGUGGCGGACUGGUGAGUAACGCGUGGGUGACCUGCCCUGAAGAUGGGGAUAGCUAGUAGAAAUAUUAGAUAAUACCGAAUGUGCUCAUUUACAUAAAGGUAAAUGAGGAAAGGAGCUACGGCUCCGCUUUAGGAUGGGCCCGCGUCCCAUUAGCUGGUUGGUGAGGUAAAGGCCCACCAAGGCAACGAUGGGUAUCCGGCCUGAGAGGGUGAACGGACACAUUGGGACUGAGAUACGGCCCAAACUCCUACGGGAGGCAGCAGCUAAGAAUCUUCCGCAAUGGACGAAAGUCUGACGGAGCGACGCCGUGUGAAUGAAGAAGGCCGAAAGGUUGUAAAAUUCUUUUGCAGAUGAAGAAUAAACAUAGGAGGGAAUGCCUAUGAGAUGACGGUAAUCAUGCGAAUAAGCCCCGGCUAAUUACGUGC